UGAGCAUCUCAUUUUGAAGAUAGUGUGGUGUUCAAGAAACUAACAUCUGCUGGAAAACAAUGAUGCACAACCCAGUUUUGAAACCUACUGACUUCUAAGGCUCUCAUCUCUGAGUAUGCUACAGCCUGGAGAAUCAUGCAUUUGAGCAGGUGUUAAAGAAUUAAUGGAAUGGAUUAGUUAUAUCUUUAUGUAAAUAAGAACCUUUGUUCAGAAGAUAUUUCUCCCUUCUUCAUCCAUGACCAUAAUCUGGG
rnacentral:lncRNA from 1 species